rnacentral:rRNA from 1 species
GUGGGGUAACGGCCUACCAAGGCAUCGACGGGUAGCUGGUCUGAGAGGACGAUCAGCCACACUGGGACUGAGACACGGCCCAGACUCCUACGGGAGGCAGCAGUAGGGAAUCUUGCACAAUGGGCGAAAGCCUGAUGCAGCAACGCCGCGUGGGGGAUGAAGGCUUUCGGGUCGUAAACCCCUUUCAGGAGGGACGAAAUUGACGGUACCUCCAGAAGAAGCUCCGGCCAACUACGUGCCAGCAGCCGCGGUAACACGUAGGGAGCAAGCGUUGUCCGGAUUUAUUGGGCGUAAAGAGCUCGUAGGUGGCUCAGUAAGUCGGGUGUGAAAACUCAGGGCUCAACCCUGAGACGCCACCCGAUACUGCUGUGGCUAGAGUCCGGUAGGGGAGCAUGGAAUUCCUGGUGUAGCGGUGAAAUGCGCAGAUAUCAGGAGGAACACCAGCGGCGAAGGCGGUGCUCUGGGCCGGUACUGACACUGAGGAGCGAAAGCAUGGGGAGCAAACAGGGUUAGAUACCCUGGUAGUCCAUGCCGUAAACGUUGGGCACUAGGUGUGGGACCCUGUCAACGGGUUCCGCGCCGUAGCUAACGCAUUAAGUG